rnacentral:rRNA from 1 species
UAGGGAAUAUUGGGCAAUGGAGGAGACUCUGACCCAGCCAUGCCGCGUGCCGGAUGAAGGCCUUCUGGGUCGUAAACGGCUUUUUUCCGGGAAGAACCGGUUCUGUGCGCAGGGCUUUGACGGUACCGGGAGAAUAAGCACCGGCUAACUCCGUGCCAGCAGCCGCGGUAAUACGGAGGGUGCGAGCGUUGUCCGGAUUUAUUGGGUUUAAAGGGUGCGUAGGCGGCCGCGUAAGUCUGGGGUGAAAGCCCGUUGCUCAACAACGGAACUGCCCUGGAAACUGUGUGGCUUGAGUCCAGACGAGGUUGGCGGAAUGGGCGGUGUAGCGGUGAAAUGCAUAGAUACCGUCCAGAACCCCGAUUGCGAAGGCAGCUGACUAGGCUGGUACUGACGCUGAGGCACGAAAGCGUGGGGAGCGAACA